rnacentral:misc_RNA from 1 species
UUUCCGUAGGUGAACCUGCGGAAGGAUCAUUAUCGAGUUUUGACUGGGUUGUAGCUGGCCUUCCGAGGCAUGUGCACGCCCUGCUCAUCCACUCUACACCUGGGCACUUACUGUGGGUAUCAGAUCGUGAAGCGUGCUCUUUUACCGGAGCUUGUGAAGCGUGUCUGUGCCCGCGUUUAGCACAAACACUAUAAAGUAUCAGAAUGUGUAUUACGAUGUAACGCAUCUAUAUACAACUUUCAGCAACGGAUCUCUUGGCUCUC